rnacentral:rRNA from 1 species
UACGUAGGGGGCAAGCGUUGUCCGGAUUUAUUGGGCGUAAAGAGCGUGUAGGCGGUUUGGUAGGUCCGUUGUGAAAACUCGAGGCUCAACCUCGAGACGCCGGCGGAAACCAUCAGACUAGAGUCCGGAAGAGGAGAGUGGAAUUCCUGGUGUAGCGGUGAAAUGCGCAGAUAUCAGGAGGAACACCGGUGGCGAAGGCGGGUCUCUGGGCCGUAACUGACGCUGAGGAGCGAAAGCAUGGGGAGCGAACAGG